CCUACGGGUGGCAGCAGUCGAGAAUCAUUCACAAUGGGGGAAACCCUGAUGGUGCGACGCCGCGUGGGGGAGUGAAGGUCUUCGGAUUGUAAACCCCUGUCAUGUGGGAGCAAAUUAAAAAGAUAGUACCACAAGAGGAAGAGACGGCUAACGCAGUGCCAGCAGCCGCGGGAAUACAGAGGGCUCAAGCGUUGUUCGGAAUCACUGGGCGGAAAGGGUGCGUAGGCUGUUUUGGAAGUCGUGUUUGAAAGGCGCGGGCUUAACCCGCGGACGGCACAUGAUACUGCGAGACUAGAGUAAUGGAGGGGGAACCGGAAUUCUCGGUGUAGCAGUGAAAUGCGUAGAUAUCGGGAGGAACACUCGUGGCGAAGGCGGGUUCCUGGACAUUAACUGACGCUGAGGCACGAAGGCCAGGGGAGCGAAAGGGAUUAGAUACCCUUGUAGUC
rnacentral:rRNA from 1 species